rnacentral:lncRNA from 1 species
AUCCGAUAACACUGUGCAACGCGAGUGCCUGUGUGCAUGUGUGUCAUUGACUCAGAGUGACAGCGUGUUUCCAAAUUUGUAAGAAACACAGUGAAUUAUGGCCUCAUUAGUUCCUGUUUUCCAAUGCCUUAUAAGAGGACCCUAACUCCCUGUCUCUACAUCAGAACAGCAGCUAGUGUUUAGCAGCUAGCGUUAGGGACAUAGCUACCAUUUGAAGAUGUGUGUGUUUUUCUCUGUUAGCCGUGUGCUGUGUCUACUGGCGCUGACCAUGGCCAUCCUCUCCUCUACAUUGGAAGGUAAGUGUGGGUGUGGUCGUAUGUUUUUGGUUGUGUGUGUGUGUAUUUAUGGUAUAUAGCAUCAGUGUGUGUAUUGCUGUGUUAGUGUGUAGUUGUGGUAUAUUGGAAGUGUAUUGCUGUGCGUGUGAGUAUGGUGUGUGUUGGAUUCCGGAUUUUGUGCGCAUGUUACACUUAUGUUGCAGUGUGUGUUAGUAGUGUGUACUGCCUAUUUAACGUUUGUUUGUGUGCUGAUAGCGUCAAGUACUGCAUGUUUAAAGUGUGUGUGUGUGAUGCAGUGCGUUCCCAGGGAAUGAGGCCUCUAAAUUGCUGUUUGAAGACAUCCAAAAAACGUCCAGCAGAACCAAUCACACUGUGUCUUAUUCAGAUGCCUCGUGGGAAAUGUAACCUCAAAGCAUACAUUUUCGCCAGUGGGGAGCAGUGGAAGUGCAUCAACCCCAAAGCCAGAUGGCUCUCUGCUGAGCUAGCAUCACUGGAACAGGUCAGUCAACCCCUUACACACUGCAUACUACACCAUGAACCCAAAUCCCUACAACCUUCAGAACAAACUAGCUCAAUCCUAAACUCUCUCUCUCUCUCUCUUUACACACAGAGAGGAAUACAGUGUGACCCACUGAUUAAAUAACCAUCAGACCAUGAUCCUAGAUCCUCAUCAUCGUCAGCAGCAGGUUCAGCAGCCUCUCUCAAGCAGGAACUACAGAACUAAGAUCUCUCUCAAGCAGGAACUACAGAACUAAGAUCUCUCUCAAGCAGGAACUACAGAACUAAGAUCUCUCUCAACCAGGAACUACAGAACUAAGAUCUCUCUCAACCAGGAACUACAGAACUAAGAUCUCUCUCAACCAGGAACUACAGAACUAAGAUAAUAAGAAGACAGUGAAAAUGAAGAUUAUGAUUUGUGUGAUUUAAGUAUUUCAAGCUGUCUUUAUCAUUUUAUUUAUUUAUGUAUUUAUUUAUUUCAACCUCAUCCCGGCAUUAAUUUAUUGUACUCAAUUCAUUAAGGUGUUUUAAAGGCAUUUGUAUUUAUUUAUUUCCUCUGUCCUUUUUUUAUGCUGUGAUAAUAACAUAACUUUGUUUGUAUAAAGUCUUUCAUUCUCAAAGUGCUUUACAGUGAUACAAAAUAAAGAAUGGGAGACCUAUCUGAGUAUCUCCAUAGUAACGAGACCCUGUAAUGGCUGCAUAAAGGUUAAAGGUGUGACACUCAAUCGUGUCACUGGGCUGUGGUCAUGGUGAUGACACUGCCCAUCCGUUCUACCAACAAAGCCAUUCCCUCAGUCCCUGACCAUAUCCUCUUCCACUAGUCACUAGUCCUUGUCCUUGUCCUUAACCCCUUUAGUUCACAAUGGAGCCCCUAGUUCCACUCUUCAUACCCCUGAUAACUCCUUUGUCCCACCUCCCACACAUGCGGUGA